rnacentral:rRNA from 1 species
GACGAACGCUGGCGGCGUGCUUAACACAUGCAAGUCGAACGGAAAGGCCCUGCUUUUGUGGGGUGCUCGAGUGGCGAACGGGUGAGUAACACGUGAGUAACCUGCCCUUGACUUUGGGAUAACUUCAGGAAACUGGGGCUAAUACCGGAUAGGAGCUCCUGCUGCAUGGUGGGGGUUGGAAAGUUUCGGCGGUUGGGGAUGGACUCGCGGCUUAUCAGCUUGUUGGUGGGGUAGUGGCUUACCAAGGCCUUGACGGGUAGCCGGCCUGAGAGGGUGACCGGCCACAUUGGGACUGAGAUACGGCCCAGACUCCUACGGGAGGCAGCAGUGGGGAAUAUUGCACAAUGGGCGGAAGCCUGAUGCACCAACGCCGCGUGCGGGAUGACGGCCUUCGGGUUGUAAACCGCUUUCGCCUGUGACGAAGCGUGAGUGACGGUAAUGGGUAAAGAAGCACCGGCUAACUACGUG